rnacentral:rRNA from 1 species
AAUAAAGAUUACGGUGUAAGAUGAGUAUGCGUCCCAUUAGUUUGUUGGUAAGGUAACGGCUUACCAAGACUACGAUGGGUAGGGGCCCUGAGAGGGGGAUCCCCCACACUGGUACUGAGACACGGACCAGACUCCUACGGGAGGCAGCAGUGAGGAAUAUUGGACAAUGGGCGAGAGCCUGAUCCAGCCAUGCCGCGUGCAGGAAGACGGUCCUAUGGAUUGUAAACUGCUUUUAUACAGGAAGAAUAAGGACUACGUGUAGUCUGGUGACGGUACUGUAAGAAUAAGGACCGGCUAACUCCGUGCCAGCAGCCGCGGUAAUACGGAGGGUCCGAGCGUUAUCCGGAAUUAUUGGGUUUAAAGGGUCCGUAGGCGGGCUAUUAAGUCAGGGGUGAAAGUUUGCAGCUCAACUGUAGAAUUGCCUUUGAUACUGAUAGUCUUGAAUUAUUGUGAAGUGGUUAGAAUAUGUAGUGUAGCGGUGAAAUGCAUAGAUAUUACAUAGAAUACCGAUUGCGAAGGCAGAUCACUAACAAUACAUUGACGCUGAUGGACGAAAGCGUGGGUAGCGAACAGGAUUAGAUACCCUGGUAGUCCACGCCGUAAACGAUGGAUACUAGCUGUUCGGUUUUCGGACUGAGCGGCCAAGCGAAAGUGAUAAGUAUCCCACCUGGGGAGUACGUUCGCAAGAAUGAAACUCAAAGGAAUUGACGGGGGCCCGCACAAGCGGUGGAGCAUGUGGUUUAAUUCGAUG